UACGGAGGAUCCAAGCGUUGUCCGGAUUUACUGGGUUUAAAGGGUGCGUAGGUGGACCUUUAAGUCAGUGGUGAAAGCCUGCAGCUUAACUGUAGAAUUGCCAUUGAAACUGAAGGUCUUGAGUGUAGUUGAGGUAGGCGGAAUGUAUCAUGUAGCGGUGAAAUGCUUAGAUAUGAUACAGAACACCGAUUGCGAAGGCAGCUUACUAAACUAUAACUGACACUGAGGCACGAAAGCGUGGGGAUCAAACAGG
rnacentral:rRNA from 1 species